GUAUAGCUCAGUGGUAGAGCACUUGCCUAGCAUGUGUGAGGCCCUGGGUUUGAUCCCCAGCAC
rnacentral:tRNA from 1 species